CCUACGGGAGGCAGCAGUGGGGAAUAUUGUGCAAUGGGCGAAAGCCUGACGCAGCGACGCCGCGUGAGGGAUGAAGGUCUUCGGGUCGUAAACCUCUGUCAGCAGGGAAGCAAGGUCACUGUGCUAAUCAGCAGUGAAUUGACGGUACCUGCAAAGGAAGCACCAGCUAACUCCGUGCCAGCAGCCGCGGUAAUACGGAGGGUGCGAGCGUUAAUCGGAAUUACUGGGCUUAAAGCGCUCGUAGGCGGGAUGUCAAGUCAAGGGUGAAAUCCCCGCGCUCAACCUGGGAACUGCCGUUGAAACUGGCAAACUUGAGUGUGUGAGAGGAUAGUGGAAUGCCAGGUGUAGGAGUGAAAUGCGUAGAUAUCUGGAGGAACAUCAGUGGCGAAGGCGACUAUCUGGCACAUAACUGACGCUGAGGAGCGAAAGCGUGGGUAGCAAACAGGAUUAGAUACCCGAGUAGUC
rnacentral:rRNA from 1 species